GUAGGUGGCAAGCGUUGUCCGGAAUUAUUGGGCGUAAAGCGCGCGCAGGCGGUUCUUUAAGUCUGAUGUGAAAGCCCACGGCCCAACCGUGGAGGGUCAUUGGAAACUGGAGAACUUGAGUACAGAAGAGGAAAGCGGAAUUCCACGUGUAGCGGUGAAAUGCGUAGAGAUGUGGAGGAACACCAGUGGCGAAGGCGGCUUUCUGGUCUGUAACUGACGCUGAGGCGCGAAAGCGUGGGGAGCAAACAGGGAUUAGAUACCCUGGUAGUCCACGCCGUAAACGAUGAGUGCUAAGUGUUAGGGGGUUUCCGCCCCCUUAGUGCUGCAGCUAACGCAUUAAGCACUCCGCCUGGGGAUACGGCCGCAAGGCUG
rnacentral:rRNA from 1 species